rnacentral:rRNA from 1 species
CCUACGGGAGGCAGCAGUGGGGAAUCUUCCGCAAUGGACGAAAGUCUGACGGAGCAACGCCGCGUGAGUGAUGAAGGCUUUCGGGUCGUAAAACUCUGUUGUUAGGGAAGAACAAGUGCUAGUUGAAUAAGCUGGCACCUUGACGGUACCUAACCAGAAAGCCACGGCUAACUACGUGCCAGCAGCCGCGGUAAUACGUAGGUGGCAAGCGUUAUCCGGAAUUAUUGGGCGUAAAGCGCGCGCAGGUGGUUUCUUAAGUCUGAUGUGAAAGCCCACGGCUCAACCGUGGAGGGUCAUUGGAAACUGGGAGACUUGAGUGCAGAAGAGGAAAGUGGAAUUCCAUGUGUAGCGGUGAAAUGCGUAGAGAUAUGGAGGAACACCAGUGGCGAAGGCGACUUUCUGGUCUGUAACUGACACUGAGGCGCGAAAGCGUGGGGAGCAAACAGGAUUAGAUACCCUGGUAGUCCACGCCGUAAACGAUGAGUGCUAAGUGUUAGAGGGUUUCCGCCCUUUAGUGCUGAAGUUAACGCAUUAAGCACUCCGCCUGGGGAGUACGGCCGCAAGGCUGAAACUCAAAUGAAUUGACGGA